UACGAAGGGGGCUAGCGUUGCUCGGAAUCACUGGGCGUAAAGCGCACGUAGGCGGCUUGUUAAGUCAGGGGUGAAAUCCUGGAGCUCAACUCCAGAACUGCCUUUGAUACUGGCAAGCUUGGAGUCCGGGAGAGGUGAGUGGAACUGCGAGUGUAGAGGUGAAAUUCGUAGAUAUUCGCAAGAACACCAGUGGCGAAGGCG
rnacentral:rRNA from 1 species